rfam:Triticum aestivum genome assembly, contig: Triticum_aestivum_CS42_TGACv1_scaffold_408401_5BL
UACCUACUCCCUCCGUCCAAAAAAACUUGUCCCAAACUAGUCCUUCAAAUGGAUGUAUCUAGCACUAACUUAGUGCUAGAUGCAUCCAUUUGAGGGACAAACUUUUUUGGACGGAGGGAGUAAUAG